AUAUAUAUAUAUAUAUAUCCAAAAUUUUAGAAGCUGCUCGCAAAAGGAGAAUCGAAUAGCCUCAGCCCUCAGGUUAAGUUUUAAUUGGUGUUUACCUCAUUAUCUCCCUCCAAUAUUUCAUUUACACACAAUUCAUGCAAAUUGUCAUACAUUUUCUUCCACUUCUGAAGCAUUUGCGUAUAAUGCGUGCAAUCCAGCUUUAGUCUCUCCACCUCCAUUUCAGCUGCAGCAGCAGAACCUUGUUGCUUAAGUUCUUUGAUUUGAUUAUCAAUCACUUGACAGCUGAGGUAUGAAGCAUCUGGAGGACCAUUGUAAGAAGACUGGAGCCUAAUAACUGCAUUAAUUCCUGUGUUUUUGUCUGUUGAGUUCACAUAUUUAUCCAGUGGAGGUGGCAAUAAUGAUCCAUGCCUUCUUGAGGAAGCUUGCACAUUU
rnacentral:misc_RNA from 1 species